rnacentral:misc_RNA from 1 species
UCUCCGUAGGUGAACCUGCGGAGGGAUCAUUACCAGAGAUGGCGGGCCUCCGCGCCCCCGUCCCCAACCCUUUGUUGACCAAACCACUUUUGCCUCGGGGGCAGAGCGGCCUCCGCCGCCCCCGGUGGACCACUUAACACUGUCUCUGUACGUCAAGAGUCUUUGGUGAAUAAAUGAAAACUUUUAACAACGGAUCUCUUGGUUCUGGCAUCGAUGAAGAACGCAGC